AGAGUUUGAUCCUGGCUCAGGACGAACGCUGGCGGCGUGCUUAACACAUGCAAGUCGAACGAGAGGAGAAGGAAGCUUGCUUCUUUCAAAUCUAGUGGCAAACGGGUGAGUAACACGUAAACAACCUGCCUUCAGGAUGGGGACAACAGACGGAAACGACUGCUAAUACCGAAUACGUUCCUUAGGUCGCAUGACUUUAGGAAGAAAGGGUGGCCUCUACUUGUAAGCUAUCGCCUGAAGAGGGGUUUGCGUCUGAUUAGGUAGUUGGUGAGGUAACGGCCCACCAAGCCGACGAUCAGUAGCCGGUCUGAGAGGAUGAACGGCCACACUGGAACUGAGACACGGUCCAGACUCCUACGGGAGGCAGCAGUGGGGAAUCUUCCGCAAUGGGCGAAAGCCUGACGGAGCAACGCCGCGUGAGUGAUGACGGCCUUCGGGUUGUAAAGCUCUGUGAUCGGGGACGAACGGUCAGCAGACGAAUACUCUGCUGAAGUGACGGUACCCGAAUAGCAAGCCACGGCUAACUACGUGCCAGCAGCCGCGGUAAUACGUAGGUGGCAAGCGUUGUCCGGAAUUAUUGGGCGUAAAGCGCGGGCAGGCGGCUUCUUA
rnacentral:rRNA from 1 species